rnacentral:rRNA from 1 species
UACGUAGGGGGCAAGCGUUGUCCGGAUUUAUUGGGCGUAAAGAGCGUGUAGGCGGCUGGGUAGGUCCGUUGUGAAAACUCGAGGCUCAACCUCGAGACGCCGAUGGAAACCCCCCAGCUAGAGUCCGGAAGAGGAGAGUGGAAUUCCUGGUGUAGCGGUGAAAUGCGCAGAUAUCUGGAAGAACACCGGUGGCGAAGGCGGUGGUCUGGGCCGUUACUGACGCUGAGGAGCGAAAGCCAGGGGAGCGAACGGG